CCUACGGGAGGCAGCAGUGGGGAAUAUUGCACAAUGGGGGAAACCCUGCUGCAGCGACGCCGCGUGAGUGAAGGAGUAUUUCGGUACGUAAAGCUCUCUCAGCAGGGAAGAAAAAAAGUCCUUUGGACUUUGGACGGUACCUGACCAAGAAGCCACGGCUAACUACGUGCCAGCAGCCGCGGUAAUACGUAGGGGGCAAGCGUUAUCCGGAUUUACUGGGUGUAAAGGGAGCGUAGACGGCAGCGCAAGUCUGGAGUGAAAUGCCGGGGCCCAACCCCGGAACUGCUUGGGAAACUGUGCAGCUGGAGUGCAGGAGAGGUAAGCGGAAUUCCUAGGGUAGCGGUGAAAUGCGUAGAUAUUAGGAGGAACACCAGUGGCGAAGGCGGCUUACUGGACUGUAACUGACGUUGAGGCUCGAAAGCGUGGGGAGCAAACAGGAUUAGAUACCCUAGUAGUC
rnacentral:rRNA from 1 species